CUGUCUAAGCAAAAGGAAAUGGUCCUUUUAUAAUAGGGAAUGAUCUUUCUGUGUGAACUUUUAAAAAUCUCCUCUGAGACUUUGUCCCCAUCAGACCAACAGAAAAGAAAUCCUGGCGUGCUGGUGGGCAGCACAAAGCCAAGACUCCUGCAAGAUCACUGUGUAGCUGCAGCCAGUCAUUGAAAUACACAACCUCCUGGCACUUCCCUGGAGUGGAUAGCAGGCAGGAUGCUGCGAUGUCUAGUAUUGACCAGCUGGUGGACGAGACCAUCUUGUGCAGUGCCAGGAGAUGGCUUUCUCACUUCUGGUCACAGCUCUGACCCAUUGAACCGACCUCCUCUGUGUCACAGCGUUGCCUUCUUGCUUGCACUCUGGCUUGCCGAUUUACUAUAAAUUUUGAAUGGAUUGCCAUUUUGAUGGAGAAUGGAAAUUAAUAUUGGAACAAUAUGAAGUUCCAUGAUUUGGAAAGUUCAGGGUUUCAGCUUUAAGAUAGCAAGUCAUGCAACAGACUCAUUGGAAUGCAAAUUUCAUCAGUGAAGAAACAGAAGAAGGUUGGUAGUCCUGUUCUAACAAUUAAAUAGCUCGUUCCUUUUCUUAUCUGCUGUAUCCUAUCAAACAGAUGGUCCUACAAUCUGCAGUGACUAAUCAUGGGAAAACUAAUGGUCAUGUUUUUUAAAAUGGCCACUUAUCUCUUAAUAAAUGAAAUCUCCUCUUUUUAGGACAGUUGGCUGCCCUGUCUCUGAAACUCAGGUUCCUCUUGGGAUGCCAGAAGUGGAGAGCCCUUGUUCUUUCAUCGCUGUCACACUGAAAAUCUCCACUGUGAGAAAGAGACUGACUUGUGCCGGAACAAGAGCGGUCAGGUGGCAUGCUUUGGACCAGCCAUGUCUCUCAAGCCCUUGCUGUUCCCUUGGCUUCUGGCUGCAGGCAAGAUGGAGAGAAGAAACCAGAGAGCUGCCAUGGAGUCAGAAUGAGCAUGUAACUCACCCAGGAUUUUGGAUAACUGCAUUUGUCUUCAGCACUACUAGCAGGAGGAGAAAUAGUUUGCCAACUACAGCACAAAUUGUGAAGCCUGAGAGGAUAGAGGUGUGAACAUAUUAAUGCUAAAAUACGGUGACUUCUUGAAAGCGAUUGUUGAGAAGGAGAAGAAACAAGGUACAGGCUGUGCUGGAAGAUGUAGAGCAGACUUGUGUUCUGCGUGCUAUAUAAAGAUUAAUCUUCAUACACCGACAGUUUUUCUCAGCAGAACUGACUUUUUUUUUCUUUUGCUAAUGUUAAUGGAAAUGUACUAGCACAAUUUACCAGAGACAUUUACAGCUGUUAAGACGGAGUGAAAUGGAAAGAAUCUGUGAGAAGAAAAACCCAGGAGAUUUGGCACUUGCCUAGGUGACAGGAAGCACAAAUUGAGAGGACGCUGUCUUCUUCAAGGGUCAUUGCAAACUUGGACAAAUUCUGUUGUUUGGGAGCAGUGGUAAAUGUUGUAGGAGUGCUUCUUGUCUUUUUUUUUUUUUUUUUUUGCUGAUGCUUCUUUUUUUUUAUUGCGGGGAGAGAGUUGUUUUGUUGUUGUUUUUUUUUCCAAGGGAAGGAGCACUUUAAGCAGUGCUUUAACCAUCAUUUAAGCAGAGGGUAGUGAGCCUGUCACAUCUGUCUGGACCUUAAUCCACUUCAGUGUGUUUGUAUAUUAAGUAGGACAAAGGGCCUGGCAGCCUGAUUUGCUUGUAGAUACUGCUCUGUGAACUUAGUAAAAGUGCUAAUAUAGAGUGCAAAUCUCUCAUUUCUGCUUGCAAGCCAAGCAGCCUUCAAAGAGACCUUCACAAUUUAUCUAUUUACCCACUCAUUGAAGUAUUGGAGCACUUCAUUGUUUUAAUACCAUCAUCCUGGUGCUAUGCCUAGAAAGUGGGACAGAAAAAAAGGAGUUCCUCUGUAAUUUAAAUCCUAAAGUCUACAGGAGCUCAGCGGAAGGAGGUACCUUCCAGAGCAGUGUCUUGCAGCCUAUCAGAAAGGUCCGAGCACAUGGUUUGGGACUGCACAUUUUUCCAAGUUAGGGGAAUAGUUGAGAGCCCAAGGACAGGAGCUGUGUGAGGUGGUACAG
ensembl:lncRNA